UCAGCAUACUGCGGUGAAUACGUUCCCGGGUCUUGUACACACCGCCCGUCACACCAUGGGAGUCGGAAAUGCCCGAAGUCUGUGACCCCAACCCGCAAGGGAGGGAGCAGCCGAAGGCAGGUCGGAUGACUGGGGUGAAGUCGUAACAAGGUAGC
rnacentral:rRNA from 1 species